GGAAGGAAUUUAUCCCAUUCAAAUUAAUGAAAAAGAAUUAAUCCUUUCCAGGUCCCAAAAUCCCCCUAUUUUUUUCUCUCAUUUUGAUAAGUUUAUAUUGUGCAUUAAACAUAGAAUUUAUAUUGUCCAUUAAACAUAGAAUUUAAUUAAAAAUAACCUAAAUUAUAGAAAAAUUACAGUUAAAAAAAAAUGAAAUACUGUAUAUUUCAGCAUAUAAGACAGCACUUGAAUCAUCCUCAAAAAGAUACAAAAAACUUGAUCAUCCUAUAUGUCCGAUACAAAACAAUGACCUUAAAAUUUUUGGCAAAAUACCAUUGUAAAUAAACACCAACCUCAAAAUGAUGAGUCAUUUAAAGUUCCUUGAAAACAGUUGUAGUGUACACAAUUUUUAUUUUGCAUUAAAAUUCUCUCUCUCUCUCUCUCUCUCUCUCUCUCUCUCUCUCUCUCUCUCUCUCUCUCUCUCUCUCUCUCUCUCUCUCUCUCUCAGUAAGAACAAUCCUGAAAAUUGCUAAAUAGAAUGAGACAGAGAGAAUGAAAAAAUGAGAGUGAGAAAUGAUGAAGCAAAAAUUAAAUAGAAUGAAUGAAGAGGGGAGAGAGAGCCAGGUACUCCUCCCUUGUCUCUAGCAGAUAAAGGAGAUUGGAGAUAACAUGGAGGGAGGUUUGAGGAGGGUAAGGAAAGGAAUGAUGGAAGGAAGGGAUGGAAGGAGGGAGGGUGGGUGGGAUAGAUAAGAAGGAAAUGGGGAGGGAUGGGGGAAAAGGGCAAGGAUGGGAGAGGGAGGGCAAGGAAUGGGGGAGCAGGAACACAUGAGGAAUUAUAUAGUGACUGAGUGGCAUCACUUGAACAGGUGUUUGUGUUCGAACUGGAGGCCAAAAUUUAUUUGCCAACCCUGUUCGAAUUGGGAGUUGUUCGAAUUGAAGUAUGUUGAAAUCAUGAGGUAUGACUAUAUAUAUAUAUAUAUAUAUAUAUAUAUAUAUAUAUAUAUAUAUAUAUAUAUAUAUAUAUAUAUAUAUAUAUAUAUAUAUAUAUAUGAUCUCUCUCACCCCAGACCCAGAGUAUGUUUAGUCAUACACAAGUCCUCAUUCAGUCACUCAUUCACUCUCUAAUUUGUUGAGAGGAAUAAGGCUGGCUUUUGCAUAUUUGGAUGAAGAGAUGAUCAGAAAGAUGAUUAUAUCACUGAUUAGACCUAGACUGGAAUAUGCAGCUGUAUUGUGGUCCCCCUACAAGAUAAAAGGAUACAAGGAAGUUGGAGAGAGUUCAGAGAGCAGCAACAAAGAUGGUACCAAGUAUCAGGGACUUGUCAUGUGAAGAGAUAUUGGCAAGGUUAUCCCACCCCCAACAUUAGAUAAAAAGAGAGAAAGAGGAAACUUGAUUGCAAUAUAUGAGGUGCCCAGAGCCAGAGUGAGUAAGUGACCUUGUGGCCAAAAUUAUUAUUAUUAUUGCAUUGUCUUCCUCAACCUUCCUACUAUGAUGGAAAAGAGCAUGGAUGUAAGAAUGGACCCCGCAACAUGAUCAAAAAUCCAUCCAAGUGAAAUUAUCCACGGAACCUUCUUGCUGCACUUGAGUGAUAACUAUCAGUUGCUGGGGCAAGAGAGAGAAGUAACCCCCUUACCACAGCACCACAGGAAGAGCCAGCUAAUGACAGCUCAUGCUGUGAUUCAUGUGUCACACUGGGACACUUCCCUACCACCACACCCACAGGCUUCACGCUCUUCCUCCCUCCCGUCUGUUUGCUACCCAUGAAUAACAGGUUGCUGUCUUAAUUUUCCUUUUACACAACUUAUAAACCUUUCAUUAUUAUGACAGACAAAAGUGUACCCCCUGAGGAGCCAGGACCUCCAGAGGAAAGAAAAGGGUGCAUAAUCCUGGAAGAAAAAUGUCACUAAAAGACAAAGAAACAUGGGGGAAUCCUAAGUGAGCCACCGAAGCAUUGGAUGACUUUAUUAUUUCUGUAUAUUCUAUUAUCCUUUAUACUGGUAUAUUUAUAUAAUGUUUACUUGUUCUUUUGUUUUAGUUUGUUCCUGUUACUUUUUUUUUUUUAAGCUCAUAUCAUUCUCUUCAUUUGUGUUCAUCUUAGGAAGUAUAUGCAUAUAUGUUACUUAAUUUUACUUCAGCAACCCACCGCUAUUGCUGGAGAGGCUCCACAUGAGAUACACAAAGAUCAAGCAUCAAGGUACCGACAGUGACGCUUUGUUCUCGGUACAGGCAAGAUGUGUUUGUCUUACUGCGGCGGUUUGCCAUUUUGGCAUUAGUUACCCGUUAUCUGAAUUUCAGAGCGGGUUGGCACUUAUUUUACACCUUACUCACUUUGUUUUACCUUACUUUAUUACCCCGUGAUCCUGUUGGAGCGGGAAGAGUGCCUGGUGUUCCUUUCCUGUUAUCCAUGAGGAGCGGGAGGACACGGUGUUGAACAAGUGUAAUUGGAAAGAUGCUGCAGAAAAUACAGGAGGACAGGGCUACUGUGAUAUCUAUCCUUUGGCCAACCCAGAUAUGGUAUGGUUCCCAUUAGCACUACAGCUGCUGGCAGAAACCCAAUUCCUUCUCCCUCAAGAGCCCUUGGUCUUGCCAUGAGAUCUGAGUCUCAAACUCCAACAGGAGCCCAAGUUGAGAAUGACUUCAAUAAUCCUAUUGGGCAAACUUUUACAAACCAAUGCCUUUCAAGGCAGGUUGCUGAAUUUCUUUUUAAGUCCUGGAGAAAAAGCAGAAAACUGCAAUAUGGAUUUUAUAUAAAAAGAUGGAUGUCAGUUUGUGUCAGCAGGGAAAUUGAUCCUUUUCUGCCACCUUUAAAUUUUCUACUGCAAUUUUUAUUAUGUGAAUUUAAGGAGAAAGGAUGGGACUUUAGCACAAUGAAGACCAUUCAAUCAGCUAUUUCAGCAAUAGCCACUAUUAAUGACAAACCCAUUAGUAAAAUGGUUCAUGAAAGCAGUUUUUCAAGAUUGACCUUGUUUUCCUUAACACCAUACUACCUGAGAUCCAGAGCUAGUUUUGAACCACAUUAAAAGUUUCAGAUCAAACAAAAAUUUAUCCUUAAUUGAGCUAUCUAAAAAUAUUGGUAAUGUUGAUGUUAUUGGUUUGUGGACAAUGUGGACAAACCUUACACUUAUUAGAUGCCAAAAACAUGUCCAUUGCUGCAUCUUGGUAUCCUUUAGAAUAGGAGACUUACUUCAAACAUCUAGAGCAGGGAGCCAUCUCUCAGAAAUAGUCUUUAAGGCUUAUGCUCUAGACAGACAUAUGUGUGUCUAUACAUCUAAACUAAGUUAUCUGAAAAGAACUGAAGGCAUCAGGGGUAAAAUCACUAGGUUUAUCCUGAUUACUAAGCCCCCUAUUAAAAUUUACCUCCAGAGACACAUUAAGACACUGGACUAGGGAUGUCCACUGGACUAGGGAUGUUUGCACCUCAUUCCACCAGAUAUGCUUUUUCUAGCAAAGCAGAAAUGACACAUCUGUUGUCUACAAUCCUGGAAACUGUGGGCUGGUCCCAGGGAUCCACCUUUGCCAAAUAUUACAAAAAACCUUUCUGCAGACAGGGUCAGUUUGGUGAAGCAAUGCUAUCAUAAUUCUUAAUAGAUUUGUUGGACUUUAUUGUAUAUAUUUUCUCUCAUUAGGACUUGUGGUUACAGAAAUUCUGUUCUACUCCAGAAAUUGUUUUUAAAUGGGACUGACUUUGGCAUUUGUAUUGAUUAUACAAAAUACACAAAUAAAUGGUUAAUUUCAUGCAUA